rnacentral:rRNA from 1 species
UACGACGGGGGCUAGCGUUGUUCGGAAUUCCUGGGCGUAAAGCGCGCGCAGGCGGUCUUCCAAGUCAGUGGUGAAAGCCCGGAGCUCAACUCCGGAACUGCCAUUGAAACUGUUGGACUUGAGUACGAGAGAGGUGAGUGGAAUUCCCAGUGUAGAGGUGAAAUUCGUAGAUAUUGGGAAGAACACCGGUGGCGAAGGCGGCUCACUGGCUCGUAACUGACGCUCAGGCGCGACAGCGUGGGGAUCAAACAGG